rnacentral:rRNA from 1 species
UACGUAGGGGGCGAGCGUUGUCCGGAUUCAUUGGGCGUAAAGAGCUCGUAGGCGGUUUGGCAAGUCAGGUGUGAAAUCUCCGGGCUCAACUCGGAGAGGCCACCUGAUACUGCUAUGACUUGAGUCCGGUAGGGGACCAUGGAAUUCCUGGUGUAGCGGUGAAAUGCGCAGAUAUCAGGAGGAACACCAAUUGCGAAGGCAGCUCGCUGGGACGUGACUGACGCUGAGACGCGAAAGCGUGGGGAGCAAACAGG